rnacentral:lncRNA from 1 species
UUUUGUUUGGUAAGGACUGAGUGAGAACCUGCAGAUGUUUUAUUGAAAACAAAUUUUGAAACAUCAUAGUGCUGUAGAACAUUGUGGAGUAUCCCUUAUUGCAGACACACAAAUGGUUCCUCUUCCAGAUAAAACUAAAUGAAGAGCAGAACUGAAAGGCAAUCAACACAAAAGGCAUGUCUGGAACUUGUAAAAUCUUCUGAGAAGUCCUACAAUCAGUUAAAAACAGUGUUAGACUAAAACAAGCAACAGAGGACUCAAGACGUUUCUCUUGCUCUCU